UUGUUUAUUUAAAAUAUAAACUCAGACAAUUUAUUAACAAAGAGUUAAGGGGGUCCUUUGGCAAAGACACAUCCACUUCUUCUCAAAAGUCGAUGGUUUCUCUUUCCGUUUAUGCUAAUGACCAACACGAAUGCUGGGCACCAUCACUCACAGUUCAGAGAAACGCUUCACCAAAGUAUUAAAAUUGGUAACACAAAGGGUGGGAGAUCUGCUGCGAUAAAGCAAGCAAGAAAAUCUCGGUAAUGAUCCUUCCGCAGGUUCACCUACGGAAA
rnacentral:misc_RNA from 1 species